AAGGAACGCGUACCAAACAGUAUCUGCGGGAUCCCGCUGCUGUCUCAUCCGCUGUCUCAGACGCAUUUGUUAGCAUAUAUACUGUUAGCGGAAGCUGGAGGAGACCAUGGAGGGCAGCAGCCGUGGGACUCUGAGUGACACUGAGUGCCUGGUUGUUACAGAGAGGCUUGCUGUGUCCUGUAGCGCGCUGGUAUCGCACGUCCAGCUUGCCUGCUGCUCCUCUCACUUUGCCUACCCAUGGCAGGGCACGGAAUUGCGAAUUCACAGCAACACCGACCCUGGUGUUAAGCCCUUGCAGCUAGUAGGUCAUCAUGGAAACAUAUCUGCUGUGGUCUUUGGAGAUGGACAAGACCCACUUAUUCUGUGUUCUGCCUCAGAUGAUUACAUCAUCAUAUGGGAUGUAAAGCAAUGUUACAGUCGAGCAAGGGAGGGUCUGAUCGCUCCAGGUACAGUCAUUGGCACACUAUUGGGGAAGGUGGUCUACCUCUCACUGAGUCCUGAGAACAAGAGAGCAGCAGCCUGCACAGCAAACAAAAUAUACAUCUUGAACACCAAGAAAAUGGAGGUUCUGGGGGUGCUGGAGGGGCACCUGGGUGCUUUGACAGCAGCAGAAUUCUACUCCUGGGAUGGAGACUUCCUUGUGUCUGUCUCAGAAGAUAGGACAUUCAGGCUUUGGGAUGUGGCAAAGGAACAGGUACUUCAUCAGUCUUCUGUGCUUUCAGCUUUUCCUUUGCUCAGUGUGUAUCUAUGCAAGAAAACCAAGCAGCUGGUUACGGGGUCCGCUGAUGGACAGGUGUGGUGCUUCACUCUCCCUAACGACCACAAAUGUCGCUUGGUGAGCAAACUGGACCUUCAGAAGGUGGUGCAGAGGAAUCGGUCAUAUGGAGAAGAAGGUACUGAGUGUUCAGGACCAGUAAGCAAGGAUGGUGUGGACAUGGUGGAGACCACAAAGCCGGUGCUGAGAAUCGGGGCCUUCACACCUUCGCCUGACGAUGUUCGUGAAGAGGACAGGGCCUCGUACAGAGCAGGGAACUGCGUUUGGAUAGGCAGCUCUGACGCCCUAUACCUGAUCAACUUGGCAACGUCUGAACUGUGCUCAACGCUGAAUCUGAAAGGCGCCCAAACAGUGACUGUCUCAGCAAUUGGGUCAUGGGCCAUCUUCCAUGGAGACGAGAACAGAGUUCUCUGCGUGGUGGCCUCACUGUUUGAUCCCACCGUGGCUCUGUUGGAAGUUGGGGUCCCAGGGUCCUCCGUAAGCCUCCGGAGCUUCUGGGCCAGCUCUGGGGAACAGAGCUUGUCUGUGCUGCCCAGUGCCCGUCCAAUGCCGGAGUCUCCCUUAAACGCAGAGCUGCCCGGAAAGGAUGCUUGCAAGCCUCGCAGAAGGACAGAUUCCAGAGGUGGGGUGAAGGACCAGGCCCUGGUCUUCCACUCCCAGAUAAAGUCAUCAGGAUAUGGGAUGGCUCCUCGGAUGGUCAUGUUCAGCCCCAAGACCAAUGCACAGAAGAAGAGUCCUGGGCCUCAGAAGACCAGCCAAAGGAAUAGAUGCCUUUUUGCUGAGUAUCCAGUGGACACUGCUCCACCGAGCAUAUUGCACACUCACCUGAGUACAGGUGGGAGACCCACAGCCAUCCACAGUCUUCAAUAUUCAGGAGAUGGAAAGCAGAUCCUGUGUGGUCUUGGAGAUGGAUCAGCGUUGGUGUACAAAUCCUCUCUCACUGGCACCCCAGCUAUCUGUUCAGGCCAUGCUGGGGCAGUGACCGUGGGAUGGAGUCACAGCCGGAAGUGGUUCCUGACUGCGGCCGAGGACCACAGCCUCCGGAUUUGGCCAUUGGGGACAGGAGAACCUGCUCUCAUCAUGGGCAGGGACAGAUUUCCCAAGCCAGUCAGGUCUGCUCAGUUCUUCUACCUGGACAAGUUCCUCCUCCUGGCUUCAGGCCCCACCUUGCAUCUAUACCUUUAUCACCUGGAUGUAGCCCGUGAUGACAUCAGAAGGUACCAUAAAAGGAAUCUGGUCAAAUUGGCAGCAAAGCUUGAGAUGAGCUCCGGGACUGACAUAACCUGUGCUUCUGCUGUGAACGAGUUUUUCUCCUAUGUAGUGCUGGUGGGAGGCUGCGACCGUUCCGUGGAGGUAUUCGACUUGAACGUGGGCCGCCCCUCCGCCCACAUACCUGGCCCCCACACCAGAGCCGUCCAUCAUGUAGCACAGAACAAGGGUUCGUCAUUCUGUGCACAGGGGUUUGACUUCUACAACCUCUUCCUCACCAGUGCUGUGACGGAUGGGAUGAAGCUGUGGGAUUUACGCAUUCUCAGGUGUGUCCGUAAGUUUGAGGGUCAUCAGAAUCGAUGCCAUCCCUGCACCUCUGCCUUCUCGCCCUGUGGGCGCUACAUCGCCACAGGCUCCGAAGACAACUCUGCCUACCUCUACGACAUCCGGAGCAGCAGCUACCUUAAGAAGCUUCCACGGCACACAGACACGGUCCUAAACGUUGCCUUCAGCCCCUGCACCCCUGAGAGGUUUUGUGAACUCCCAGGACUCUCUGCUGUUUGUCCAGCUGCUGACGGGGACUCUGGAUGGGAAGCUGCAGCUCUUCAGACCGGCUGACUGACCCAGCAGUGGAGCCAUCCUCCAUGCUUACCCAUAGUGUGACUGCGCCAUUCUGGAGAUGAGCGUCUAGGCCCAGUUCAAGCACCGAUCGAAGGGCUGCGCAUGGGGAAAAACUGAGGGAUUGUGGGAAGGCUGCAUAGGACCUGGCAGCUUUUCACACCGGAUAGAUCAUCUGAGAUCAUUCUCCAAAACACCCAUGCUGCAAUAAAACACCCCUUUGUUUCGGGGAGGAACGACCAGCAGGUUUUUGGAAGAGUUUGGGUCUUAAGUUCAUUCUUGGCUGCCAAUAACAGUUUUUUUUUUUUUUUUGCAUAUGGUUACGCAUUAUUAUAUGGUAUUAAAAACCACUCCGGUUCAAAGCUAAUAUCCCCCCAAUUUCAUAUUGCUGCUUGACGUGCAUAGCCUACUGCCGCUGCCCGUGGGCUCCUCCGUUAAUGUGGAGACCAUAUGACUCAGUACAGCUGAGCGCUGCUCCACAGAAGGUCCUUUUGGUGUUUUUAAUACAUACCAGCUUGUUUAAUAAAUGUACAUAUCUGUC